rfam:Gossypium arboreum cultivar AKA8401 contig_59231_1, whole genome shotgun sequence.
GAUUAAAAAAUUCAUCUAUUUUUAUUAUUAAAAACUGAUAUGGCAGACAGAAUAACUAAACAGUGACACGUGGUGUGUCACAUGUACUUCAUGUUGAUGUAUAAAAACUAAUUUUUAAUAGUAAAAACAAAUGAAUUUUUUAAUA